CGUGGUACCAGCAACAGAGCGA
rnacentral:siRNA from 1 species